ensembl:lncRNA
AAAUUAUUUUCUUGAUGGCGUCUGAUGAAAUGGUUACAUUGUGUCUACACCAGGGAAGAGGAGUUUCUUCAGAGAAGGAGGGAGGGAGAGGCUCAUCUCUAAUGGGAUGGAUGCCAGGGAAAUGACUACUUCUUGGGUGUCCUCUUAACUGCGGAAUUUCACCUAAUGGGGAUGGUCAGGAGAUAACAGCUCCCAUGAACUUUCUUUCCAGGCACCAACCCAACCGUCUAAAAAACCUAAGACACAUGCAACGAUACAUAACUGUUUGGGGUACAAAUAACAUUCUGUUAUGUAAGAGUCUUGGAAGGAAAGCAUCUGGGGCUUGGCCAGCAGCUUUUUAAAUGCAAUGGUGGGCAGCGGUCAAACCUAAAAGAGCAGGAGAAUGACGGUAAUGACUCCACAUUUGGUGGGACUCCCUGAUUACCAGCCUCUGAGGGGAUGGGGCGUGAGGCGGAGGGAGAACGGGUUUCUUACCCAGGGUCUUCUCUGGUGAGGUGAUGACACCAUGUCUCAGCCAGGGAGGAGCAGCGUCUUCAGGAAAAGGGGGAGCGGGAGGUUUACGCCUAACGAGGUGGAUGCCGGGAGCAUGACCGCCUUUCUCAGACGCCCACUGAACUCCGGAACUUGGCCUAGUGGGGAGGGUCAGAAGGUGAGGUGUCCCGUGAAGGGAUCAGUGAGCCCCGCCCAUGGGGCUGCCUCAAUAAGCUCCCUGCAAUUGCUUUUGCUAACAUUCCCAAAACAGUAAAUCUCCAUUUCUAUCGUUUGGUAAGUGUCUUGUGCCUGCCUCCUCCUUUGCUUUCUGCCAAAAUCCCCACCAUACAUGCACGGCAUCACCUGACUGUAUGACUCCUUAAACACACACGACCCUCUAUCAAUAGGUUCUGUGUAUACCGUGCUCCCGUUUUCUCAUUUAUUUAUUUUAUUGACGUGAAUGAGGAGAGAGAUUGAGAGAAAGAGAGAACCUCACCUGUACAGCUGCAAUUACUUCCAAAUCAUGUCAUUGGUACCUUUCUUCGUUUUCCAUGAGGGCAGCAAAUGUUUUUUAUCUUUUAUUUACUUUACAUGCUCAUUUCUCUCAUAAAAUGGUUUUUUUUUUUUUUUUUUUGCAUUUCAUUAGAACGUAUUUCAGUGUUCCCCAGAUGAAGGUUGAUUCUGUAUAUUUUCCAAUGUGUUCUCCUCCCGUGCGAGGAUUGUAAGCUUCUGCUCACAGGGACCCCGAUCCCAACGACGUCCUUUAGAGGCGAAGCGAAGUCUUAUCGGCCUGUCCAUCCAAACUGCCUCAGGAACACAACGGAGGCUGGUUGUGGAAAGGAGAAGGUCUUGGUCCGCUCAGGCUGUUGGGACAAAUUCGCCAACGCCGUCAUCCUGUCACAUCGCUACCCUUUCUUCUGCGGCGGUGAGAACACUUAGGAUCUACCUCCUGAGCCAUUUUCAAGUGCCCGGGGCAGUAUUAUGGCCGAUAAUCACAACGCCAUGCGUCACAUUCCCGGGACCGAUUCAUCUUCUAACUGCAAGCUGCACAUUUUGACCAACAUUUCCCAUCUCCCCG